UACGUAGGGAGCAAGCGUUGUCCGGAAUCAUUGGGCGUAAAGCGCGCGUAGGCGGUUACUUAAGUCGAAUGUGAAAGCCCUCGGCUUAACUGAGGAAGUGCAUCCGAAACUGAGUAGCUAGAGUACGAAAGAGGGUCGCGGAAUUCCCGGUGUAGAGGUGAAAUUCGUAGAUAUCGGGAGGAACACCGGUGGCGAAGGCGGCGACCUGGGUCGAGACUGACGCUGAGGCGCGAAAGCGUGGGGAGCAAACAGG
rnacentral:rRNA from 1 species